AGAGUUGAUUCUGGCUCAGGAUGAACGCUAGCGGCAGGCCUAACACAUGCAAGUCGAGGGGCAGCGCGGGGUAGCAAUACCCUGGCGGCGACCGGCGCACGGGUGCGUAACGCGUAUGCAACCCACCCGCAACAGGGGCAUAACGGAGGAAACUUCCACUAAUUCCCCGUAUUGUCGUUAUUCCGCAUGGGAUGAUGACGAAAGCUUCGGCGGUUGCGGACGGGCAUGCGUGACAUUAGCUAGUUGGCGGGGCAACGGCCCACCAAGGCUGCGAUGUCUAGGGGAGCUGAGAGGCUAAUCCCCCACACUGGUACUGAGACACGGACCAGACUCCUACGGGAGGCAGCAGUGAGGAAUAUUGGUCAAUGGACGGAAGUCUGAACCAGCCCAUGCCGCGUGGGGGAAGGAGGCCCUACGGGUCGUAAACCCCUUUUAGCCGGGAGUAAUAAGGGUCCUGCGGGGCCUGAUGAGAGUACCGGCGGAAUAAGCAUCGGCUAACUCCGUGCCAGCCGCCGC
rnacentral:rRNA from 1 species